rnacentral:rRNA from 1 species
GACGAACGCUGGCGGCGUGCUUAACACAUGCAAGUCGAGCGGUAAGGCCUUUCGGGGUACACGAGCGGCGAACGGGUGAGUAACACGUGGGUGACCUGCCCUUCACUCUGGGAUAAGCCUGGGAAACUGGGUCUAAUACCGGAUAUUCACUGAUCCUCGCAUGGGGGUGGGUGGAAAGUUUUUUUCGGUGGGGGAUGGGCCCGCGGCCUAUCAGCUUGUUGGUGGGGUGAUGGCCUACCAAGGCGACGACGGGUAGCCGGCCUGAGAGGGCGACCGGCCACACUGGGACUGAGACACGGCCCAGACUCCUACGGGAGGCAGCAGUGGGGAAUAUUGCGCAAUGGGCGGAAGCCUGACGCAGCGACGCCGCGUGGGGGAUGACGGCCUUCGGGUUGUAAACCUCUUUCGACAGGGACGAAGCGUGAGUGACGGUACCUGUAGAAGAAGCACCGGCCAACUACGUGCCAGCAGCCGCGGUAACACGUAGGGUGCGAGCGUUGUCCGGAAUUAUUGGGCGUAAAGAGCUCGUAGGCGGUGUGUCGCGUCGGCCGUGAAAACCUGCAGCUUAACUGUGGGCUUGCGGUCGAUACGGGCAUCACUGGAGUUCGGCAGGGGAGACUGGAAUUCCUGGUGUAGCGGUGAAAUGCGCAGAUAUCAGGAGGAACACCGGUGGCGAAGGCGGGUCUCUGGGCCGAUACUGACGCUGAGGAGCGAAAGCGUGGGGAGCGAACAGGAUUAGAUACCCUGGUAGUCCACGCCGUAAACGGUGGGCGCUAGGUGUGGGGGCCAUUCCACGGUCUCUGUGCCGCAGCUAACGCAUUAAGCGCCCCGCCUG